rnacentral:lncRNA from 1 species
GGAAAUGCUGUGUACUGAGUGCUGGCCGGGUCGUGCCCUUUUACCCAUGUGUACAGUUUUCCGAAGAGCUUGGCCCAGACAGCCCUAGUGCCUCUGUAUAUAGAUGAAGGUUGUGAGGCUCAGAGAAGGUAAAUGAGGAGCCUGAGGACAUCAGCCUGCCGAGCUCAGGGGCUCCUCGCCCUGCACCCAGCAGCCUCUGGUGUCCCAAGCUGUGGCCUGGCCCAGGGUGGAGGACAUGGCUGACCCAGGUCUCUUGGUGCUGUUUGUCUGGCAACACCUGACGAGGUCUCCUUUUCUGCACCCAUUCCUUCAUUCCUGAGCAUGCUAGGCUGUGUGCUGGCUCCUGGGCAGAACACACUGGAUGAGCCAGGUGCCGUCCUUCCCAUUCAGAGCCUGAAGCUAGUGGGGACCCUAAGGAGAUUCAGGGACAUCCAGCUUUAUGGCUGGGAGUAAUUUUAAAUCCAGCCUCUCUUCAACUUUCACACACCACCUCCACCUGUUCUUCAGUGUGGUGGGGAACAGAACCUAUUGGGGCCCUCACCUUGAGGCAAGCAUGUCUUCCAGGCUGCCCAGCCACAAGGGGGUGCUGUAACAGCCGUGAGCAGGAUUUCCCAGGCUCUAGCUUGCACUCAAUGGCAGGAGCUCUGGCUCUGUUUACCAUGCCCGCAGGGACUUCAAGAGUCCCCAUUUGAGACCCAUGCUGGCCACCUGGGCCACCAUUUGUCUCCCCUCCUGCUCCAGGUGUAUGGGGAAGACCUGUCUGCCUUCACCUAGGCCAUGUCUUGAUGCUGCCCAAGAAGCCACAUCUUGUGCACAUCUGGUGCAGGGGAUCCUUGCACCAGGCUGGGCAUGAGCCAAGGUUCUCUUCCACGAGCGGAUCCUUUUCCAAGUGGGAACGCCUGGAGAGCCAGGGACUUGAAUCUUUUGGGUAUGAAGCCUCCCCACUCCCGAAAGAUCUAUCGUAUAAUUGAGCUAUCCUACUUCUGGGUGAAUAUCUGAGGAAAAUGAAAUCAGCACACUAAAGAGACACCUGCACACCCAUGUACGAUGCAGCAUGAGUCACAAGAGCCAAGAUCUGGGAUCUUGCCCACCAACAGAUGAAUGAAUAAAGG